CACGUAGGGCGCAAGCGUUGUCCGGAAUUAUUGGGCGUAAAGAGCUCGUAGGCGGUCUGUUACGUCUGCUGUGAAAACCCGGGGCUUAACCCUGGACUUGCAGUGGAUACGGGCAGACUAGAGGCAGGUAGGGGAGAAUGGAAUUCCCGGUGUAGCGGUGAAAUGCGCAGAUAUCGGGAGGAACACCGGUGGCGAAGGCGGUUCUCUGGGCCUGACCUGACGCUGAGGAGCGAAAGCGUGGGGAGCGAACAGG
rnacentral:rRNA from 1 species